rnacentral:rRNA from 1 species
UUAUCCGGAAUUAUUGGGCGUAAAGAGCUCGUAGGCGGUUUGUCGCGUCUGCUGUGAAAUCCCGAGGCUCAACCUCGGGCCUGCAGUGGGUACGGGCAGACUAGAGUGCGGUAGGGGAGAUUGGAAUUCCUGGUGUAGCGGUGGAAUGCGCAGAUAUCACGAGGAACACCGAUGGCGAAGGCAGAUCUCUGGGCCGUAACUGACGCUGAGGAGCGAAAGGGUGGGGAGCAAACAGGCUUAGAUACCCUGGUAGUCCACCCCGGUAAACGUUGGGAACUAAGUUGUGGGGUCCAUUCCACGGAUUCCGUGACGCAGCUAACGCACUAAGUUCCCCGCCUGGGGAGUACGGCCGCAAGGCUAGAACUCAAAGGAAUUGACGGGGACCCGCACAAGCGGCGGAGCAUGCGGAUUAAUUCGAUGCAACGCGAAGAACCUUACCAAGGCUUGACAUAUACGAGAACGGGCCAGACAUGGUCAACUCUUUGGACACUCGUAAACAGGUGGUGCAUGGUUGUCGUCAGCUCAUGUCGUGAGAUGUUGGGUUAAGUCCCGCAACGAGCGCAACCCUCGUUCUAUGUUGCCAGCACGU